AGUGAACUUCGUUUGAAGUAAAAAUCCUUUUCUCUCGUUUUUUUACGAGAGAAAAUAUUGAAGCGUAAAGCAGGAAAUAGC
rnacentral:sRNA from 1 species